rnacentral:rRNA from 1 species
GACGAACGCUGGCGGCGUGCCUAAUACAUGCAAGUCGAACGAGAGCGACCGGUGCUUGCACUGGUCAAUCUAGUGGCGAACGGGUGAGUAACACGUGGGUAACCUGCCCAUCAGAGGGGGAUAACAUCCGGAAACGGAUGCUAAAACCGCAUAGGUCUUCGAGCCGCAUGGCUUGAAGAGGAAAAGAGGCGCAAGCUUCUGCUGAUGGAUGGACCCGCGGUGCAUUAGCUAGUUGGUGAGGUAACGGCUCCCCAAGGCCGGGAUGCAUAGCCGACCUGAGAGGGUGAUCGGCCACAUUGGGACUGAGACACGGCCCAAACUCCUACGGGAGGCAGCAGUAGGGAAUCUUCCGCAAUGGACGCAAGUCUGACGGAGCAACGCCGCGUGAGUGAAGAAGGUUUUCGGAUCGUAAAACUCUGUUGUUAGAGAAGAACAAGUGCUAGAGUAACUGUUAGCGCCUUGACGGUAUCUAACCAGAAAGCCACGGCUAACUACGUG